AAAGAUUAGCCACAUUUUGCAGAUGUGAGUGAUAAAAUAAUUGCUGUGGAUAUCAUUUAUUCCACUUCUGAAAUGGCUACAGUGAGUGCUUCAUACCAUCUUCCCUUUUUUGAUGAGAGACACAGCACUGGUGGGAUGCACGCACACACGAACAGAGGACGGGAUUGUGGGAACUUUGAUUGAUGAGGUAAUCCAUCUGGCUCCGAAGCAAAGGGAGGGGAAAGAGAGAGCGCACCAGCGAAGAAGAGAGCAGAAGAUGAGUAAUGAUGCUCCAGUCUCCGGACUUUGACCCGGCUCCCAUCACAGCUGCUCCAAACUGGGCGGAGGCCCAUGAUGGUUCUCCACUUGUGGAUGAAAGGAUGACGCAUGAAACGCUCGCUCCAGUCAUGACACAGACCAGAUGAAUGGUGUUUUCACUUACUCCAACAAUAAAAAAAAACAAAAAAAAUG